AGGCUUAACACAUGCAAGUCGAGGGGCAGCAUGACGAUAGCUUGCUAUUGUUGAUGGCGACCGGCGCACGGGUGAGUAACGCGUAUCCAACCUGCCCUUGUCCAUCGGAUAACCCGUCGAAAGGCGGCCUAACACGAUAUGCAGUUCUCAGCAGGCAUCUAACGAGAACGAAAUGUGAAGGAGAAGGAUGGGGAUGCGUCUGAUUAGCUUGUUGGCGGGGUAACGGCCCACCAAGGCGACGAUCAGUAGGGGUUCUGAGAGGAAGGUCCCCCACAUUGGAACUGAGACACGGUCCAAACUCCUACGGGAGGCAGCAGUGAGGAAUAUUGGUCAAUGGGCGAGAGCCUGAACCAGCCAAGUAGCGUGCAGGAUGACGGCUCUAUGGGUUGUAAACUGCUUUUAUGCGGGGAUAAAGUGAGCCACGUGUGGCUUAUUGCAGGUACCGCAUGAAUAAGGACCGGCUAAUUCCGUGCCAGCAGCCGCGGUAAUACGGAAGGUCCGGGCGUUAUCCGGAUUUAUUGGGUUUAAAGGGAGCGUAGGCCGUCUGGUAAGCGUGUUGUGAAAUGUCGGGGCUCAACCUGGGCAUUGCAGCGCGAACUGUCAGACUUGAGUGCGCGGGAAGUAGGCGGAAUUCGUCGUGUAGCGGUGAAAUGCUUAGAUAUGACGAAGAACUCCGAUUGCGAAGGCAGCCUGCUGUAGCGCAACUGACGCUGAAGCUCGAAAGCGUGGGUAUCGAACAGGAUUAGAUACCCUGGUAGUCCACGCGGUAAACGAUGGAUGCUCGCUGUUUGCGUCUGACGUAAGCGGCCAAGCGAAAGCGUUAAGCAUCCCACCUGGGGAGUACGCCGGCAACGGUGCAACUCAAAGGAAUUGACGGA
rnacentral:rRNA from 2 species